rnacentral:rRNA from 1 species
GUGAGGAAUAUUGCGCAAUGGAGGCAACUCUGACGCAGCCAUGCCGCGUGCAGGAAGAAGGCGCUACGCGUUGUAAACUGCUUUUAACCGGGAAGAAACCCCAGGACGUGUCCUGGGUUGACGGUACCGGAGGAAUAAGCACCGGCUAACUUCGUGCCAGCAGCCGCGGUAAUACGAAGGGUGCAAGCGUUAUCCGGAUUCAUUGGGUUUAAAGGGUGCGUAGGCGGAGCGUUAAGUAAGUGGUGAAAUCCUGCAGCUUAACUGUAGACUUGCAAUUGAUACUGGCGCUCUUGAGUGCGCUUGAAGUGGGCGGAAUGUGCCGUGUAGCGGUGAAAUGCUUAGAUAUGGCACAGAACACCAAUUGCGAAGGCAGCUCACUAAGGCGAUACUGACGCUGAGGCACGAAAGCGUGGGGAUCGAACAGGAUUAGAAACCCGAGUAGUCC